ACUCCUACGGGAGGCAGCAGUGGGAAUAUUGGACAAUGGGGCACCGUAGCAUCCAGCGAUGCGCGUGUGUGAAGAAGGCCUGAGGGUUGUAAAGCACUUUUAGUGGGGAGGAAAGUUAACAGGUUAAGAGCUAGUUAAGUUGACGUUACCCACCAUAAACAGCACCGGCUAACUCCGUGCCAGCAGCCGCGGUAAUACGGGG
rnacentral:rRNA from 1 species